rnacentral:tRNA from 1 species
UGAGGCGUACCUCGAGGGCAGAGCACCCGGCUCUUAACCGGAACGGUGUGGGUUCGAGUCCCACCGCCUCAACCA